rnacentral:sRNA from 1 species
AUGGCGGCUAGGCCGGCCAGCCGAAAAGCGGAAGCUUCACCGCCUGCCGCCGCCAUUUGAAGCGCUGGG